ensembl:lncRNA novel transcript, antisense to GALNT12
CAGUAAUGACCAGACACAUCACACCCGCCUUCUAGAAGCCCUCCCUCACAAACCGGAUCAACUGCUAUGAUAAAGGUAAGACAAGGAACAGUGUUGAGGAAGGCAGGAAUAAACAACUACAGCAGGGUGGUCAGAGAAGGCUACACAGAGUUGAUUGCACUGGACAUCAGAGGUUGAGGAAGAAUGUUCUUGGAAGAAAAGGUAGGAAGAUCAUGUCUUCCAGUGGAGGUGUGAGACAGCCUCGUCCAUUCAGGGAUGUGCAGGCGGAACAGGCAUCUUCUUCCAGGGGGUGAGAGGUGGCAGGAGCUAAGAGGCAACAUACAUGGCUGGACAGUGAGAUUGUGUUAAUGUGGAUUAUUCCUCCACAAAUAUGCAUUCUUCUCCUCUCCAUUGUGAAUAGAGUUUUGGUUUCCUUCUUUUCAUGAUUCACCAUUAGAAGAACCCACCCAGGUAAUCACUGCUUGCUCGGAUCCCAGCAAAUUCUAGAUCCCAGAACUAGUGCUCUUAGAGCCAAGGCCAGCCGAUCCAAGUCUGGACUACUGCUCAGAUGAGCCGAGCCUGAAUUUGGGAGUGGUUGUUACAGAGCAUUACCCUGGCAAUAACUGACUGAUGCAGAGAUGUAAAUAGACAUCACUGGUGGAGCCCCCAGGAAAGCUCUUUAACAGAAGACAGACUCAGCUGGCAGGUUUCCCGUCUCCUUGAAUGAAGACAGGCUCAAUGCUUGGAGGG